CCUCCACCAAAAAAAGCGAGCUCCCUCUGUUGAAAAUGGAAAUUCUCAAAAUUUUCAAUCUCUCCCUCUUCUUCUUUUCUCUCUGUUCCAAUCUCAAAACAAAACACUGUAUAUAUAUACCUCCCCAGAACAAACAUAUCCUCACUCCAUAUUCAAUUACUAAUCCAUUCCCUUCAUAUCUAUAUCUCUAUUCCCAAACACCACCGAAUAUUCUGAGCCAUGAAGACUGAGCAGAACAACAAAGAGAACGUUCCUCCAUUCUGUAACACAAUGAAGGCAAAGUUCAAGAAGAGCCCAAUUUCGCAGAAAGCGAAGAUUCCAUCUUUUAAGAGUAUUGGAAAUGGGAUUCAACGAAAGCCUAAGAGAAUCCCUCUUUCUGAUAUCACUGAUCUGUUCAAUAACUCUUCAACCUUCACUAUUUCCCACCACCACCGCCAAAUCAAUGAUUUAGUUUCUGAAAUUCCUUCUGUGUCAAUUUCUCGGUGGAGGGCACAAGUGGCUUCACCUUCCAAAUCAUUGAGGAUGGGAUUUAGAUGAUAGUUAUAUUUGUAUAAUAAUUCAUGAUUGUGUUCAAUUUUGAUCUCUCUAGUUUGUUAUUUAAUAUAUAAACAUUCAAUUCAAUUAUGAUCUCUUCCAUUUUGUAGUUUAUAUGCUAUUGGAUUUGGAACUUGAGUAAAGUCCACCUUUCACUUUCAAUAUCUGCAAUUUCAAAGUGAAGAUUUUAUUAUCUGUUUAAUGUUGUUUGACGAAGACAGUGUUUUAAAUUACAAUCACAACUGCAAUAAUACAAUUUUGU
rnacentral:lncRNA from 1 species